rnacentral:rRNA from 1 species
UGGGGAAUUUUGGACAAUGGGCGCAAGCCUGAUCCAGCCAUGCCGCGUGCGGGAAGAAGGCCUUCGGGUUGUAAACCGCUUUUGUCAGGGAAGAAAAGGUUCUGGUUAAUACCUGGGACUCAUGACGGUACCUGAAGAAUAAGCACCGGCUAACUACGUGCCAGCAGCCGCGGUAAUACGUAGGGUGCAAGCGUUAAUCGGAAUUACUGGGCGUAAAGCGUGCGCAGGCGGUUAUGCAAGACAGAGGUGAAAUCCCCGGGCUCAACCUGGGAACUGCCUUUGUGACUGCAUAGCUAGAGUACGGUAGAGGGGGAUGGAAGUCCGCGUGUAGCAGUGAAAUGCGUAGAUAUGCGGAGGAACACCGAUGGCGAAGGCAAUCCCCUGGACCUGUACUGACGCUCAUGCACGAAAGCGUGGGGAGCAAACAGG